CAUACCAGCCUCAUUUGCCAAAUCCCCUCUCUCCGCCUGCUGAGAGAGCGAUGGAAAUGGCGAUUGGCUUCCAAACGCAGCUCAAAUCCUCGUCUUCUUUCGGCCAUUUCUCCGGCAGAAACCCUAAUAGGAGCCCUUCCCUUUCCUCUCUCCAUCUCCCGAAACAAAUCCUCGGCCGCACCUUCCCCUCAUCUCAAACCGUUAAAAUACUCUCGAAGCUCGCUGCUCGUUCUGGGUCUUCCAAUCUCACCGCAAUCAAAUGCUCUGUUUCAUCGACCACCGAAACCACUACCGUAGGGAAAAAGAACCAGUUAAUGACAAGAAGAGAUGUACGAAAUAUAGCAAUUGUUGCUCAUGUUGAUCAUGGAAAGACGACUUUGGUGGAUGCAAUGUUGAAACAAUCUAAGGUGUUUCGUGACAACCAAUUUGUAGAAGAGAGGAUAAUGGACUCAAACGAUCUUGAGCGGGAAAGGGGAAUUACUAUUCUUAGCAAAAAUACUUCAAUCUUCUACAAGGAUACUAAGAUAAACAUUAUUGAUACUCCAGGUCAUUCUGACUUUGGUGGUGAAGUGGAACGUGUCCUUAAUAUGGUGGAGGGAGUUCUUCUAGUGGUAGAUUCUGUAGAGGGACCAAUGCCACAAACAAGAUUUGUUCUAAAGAAAGCUCUAGAAUUUGGGCAUGCUGUUGUAGUUGUUGUGAAUAAGAUUGAUAGGCCUUCAGCACGCCCAGACUAUGUGAUCAAUUCCACUUUUGAACUUUUUAUUGAGUUAAAUGCAACAGAUGAACAGUGUGAUUUCCAAGCGAUAUAUGCGAGUGCUAUCAAGGGAAAGGCUGGACUAUCUGCAGACAAUCUUGCAGAUGAUCUUGGACCACUUUUUGAGGCUAUUGUUAGAUGCAUACCAGAGCCAACUAUUGAUAAAGAUGGUGCAUUGCAGAUGCUUGUGACAAAUACUGAGUAUGAUGAGCACAAAGGCCGAAUAGCAAUUGGACGCUUGCAUGCUGGGGUGUUGCAAAGAGGCAUGGAUGUGAAGGUAUGCACCUCAGAGGAAACAUGUAGGUAUAGUAAAAUCAGUGAGCUUUUUGUCUUUGAGAACUUUAGCAGGGCUCCGGUGGAGACUGUGGAGGCUGGUGAUAUUUGUGCUGUUUGUGGUAUUGGUGAUAUUAUGAUUGGGGAGACAAUAGCCGAUAAAAGUGCUGGGAAGCCUUUACCUGCCAUUAAGGUGGAAGAGCCAACAGUUAAAAUGUCUUUCUCUAUCAAUACUUCACCUUUUGUUGGCCGUGAGGGAAAGUAUGUAACCAGUAGAAAUCUUCGAGAUCGGCUCUACCGUGAGCUUGAGAGGAAUUUAGCUAUGAAAGUUGAAGAAGGUGAAACGGCAGAUACAUUCAUCGUCAGUGGGAGGGGUACCUUACAUAUCACCAUAUUGAUAGAGAACAUGCGGAGGGAAGGGUACGAGUUUAUGGUGGGGCCACCGAAGGUUAUUAACAAGAAGGUGGAUGAUAAGUUGUUCGAGCCUUUUGAGAUUGCUACUGUGGAGGUUCCAGAAGAAUACAUGGGACCUGUAGUUGAACUUCUUGGGAAAAGGCGGGGGCAAAUGUUUGAUAUGCAGGGGCUUGGGUCGGAGGGGACAUCAUUGAUUAAAUAUAAGAUCCCUACUCGUGGUCUUCUUGGACUGCGGAAUGCGAUCCUAACAGCUUCUCGAGGCACAGCAAUUCUCAACACGGUAUUUGAUAGCUAUGGACCAUGGGCUGGGGAUAUCAGCACCCGUGAUCAGGGGUCCUUGGUUGCUUUUGAGGGUGGGACAACUACUUCCUAUGCACUUUCGAGUUCACAGGAAAGAGGUCAGUUGUUUGUUAGCCCUGGUAUGGAAGUGUACAAGGGUCAAAUAGUUGGCAUUCAUCAGCGUCCUGGUGAUCUAUCCCUCAAUGUCUGCAAGAAAAAGGCGGCAACAAACAUACGGUCCAAUAAGGAACAAACAGUUAUUCUGGAUACGCCCUUAACGUACAGUCUUGAUGACUGCAUAGAGUACAUCCAAGAAGAUGAAUUGGUAGAGGUCACGCCAUCAAGCAUCCGAAUGUUGAAAAACCCAAAGUUCGGAAAGAAAAAAUAACUCAAUCAUUUGGCGAACCAUGCCGAUUUGGCCGUUUGUGCCUUCAUACAAAACCAAAUUGGUUACAUUGCAUUUCCAGUCGAGAACUGUGUGAGGCAGUUACAGCCCAAAGAUGAAUACAUGUAUUUUUAAUGAGCUUGCUGCAUAUUUAAAGGCGUAAUUAAUCUAUAGAAUCUUUUUGUUGUAUCAUUCAACAUAUACAUAGGAUUUUCAACACAUAUAUAUAUUUUUUAAAAUAAGGAAAUAAAGUAAUUUUGAGUAUUUUCUAAA